UACGUAGGGUGCGAGCGUUAAUCGGAAUUACUGGGCGUAAAGCGUGCGUAGGCGGUCCCGCAAGUCCGCUGUGAAAGCCCCGAGCUUAACUUGGGAACUGCAGUGGAAACUAUGGGACUUGAAUCCGGCAGAGGGGGGUGGAAUGCCACGUGUAGCAGUGAAAUGCGUAGAGAUCGGGAGGAACACCGGUGGCGAAGGCGGGUCUCUGGGCAAUUCCUGACGCUGAGGCGCGAAAGCGUGGGGAGCAAACGGG
rnacentral:rRNA from 1 species